GCCAGCAGCCAUCUCACCCUGCAGCUCCCAGCUGGCAGCCCACUGAAGCUCAGCAGGUGUGAGCCUGGUCAGAACCUGGAUGGGAGACCUCCUGGGAAAAAACUAAGGCUGCUGCUGGAA
rnacentral:rRNA from 1 species